AACGAACGCUGGCGGCAGGCUUAACACAUGCAAGUCGAGCGCCCCGCAAGGGGAGCGGCAGACGGGUGAGUAACGCGUGGGAACGUACCCUUUGCUACGGAAUAGCUCCGGGAAACUGGAAUUAAUACCGUAUGUGCCCUACGGGGGAAAGAUUUAUCGGCAAAGGAUCGGCCCGCGUUGGAUUAGCUAGUUGGUGGGGUAAUGGCCUACCAAGGCGACGAUCCAUAGCUGGUCUGAGGGGAUGAUCAGCCACAUUGGGACUGGGACACGGCCCAAACUCCACCGGGAGGCAGCAGUGGGGGAUAUUGGACAAUGGGCGCAAGCCUGAUCCCGCCAUGCCGCGUGAGUGAUGAAGGCCUUAGGGUUGUAAAGCUCUUUCACCGGAGAAGAUAAUGACGGUAUCCGGAGAAGAAGCCCCGGCUAACUUCGUGCCAGCCGCCGCCGUAAGAC
rnacentral:rRNA from 1 species